GAUGAACGCUGGCGGCGUGCUUAACACAUGCAAGUCGAACGAAGCACUUAAGAUUGAUUCUUCGGAUGACGUCUUUUGUGACUUAGUGGCGGACGGGUGAGUAACGCGUGGGUAACCUGCCUCACACAGGGGGAUAACAGUUAGAAAUGACUGCUAAUACCGCAUAACCCGAUAGGAUCGCAUGAUCCAGACGGAAAAGAUUUAUCGGUGUGAGAUGGACCCGCGUCUGAUUAGCUAGUUGGUGAGGUAACGGCCCACCAAGGCGACGAUCAGUAGCCGGCCUGAGAGGGUGAACGGGCACAUUGGGACUGAGACACGGCCCAAACUCCUACGGGAGGCAGCAGUGGGGAAUAUUGCACAAUGGGGGAAACCCUGAUGCAGCGACGCCGCGUGAGUGAAGAAGUAUUUCGGUAUGUAAAGCUCUAUCAGCAGGGAAGAAAAUGACGGUACCUGACUAAGAAGCCCCGGCUAACUACGUG
rnacentral:rRNA from 1 species